CCUACGGGUGGCAGCAGUGGGGAAUUUUGGACAAUGGGGGAAACCCUGAUCCAGCAAUGCCGCGUGUGCGAAGAAGGCCUUCGGGUUGUAAAGCACUUUUGUCAGGGAAGAAAUCCUUUGGGCUAAUACCCUAGGGGGAUGACGGUACCUGAAGAAUAAGCACCGGCUAACUACGUGCCAGCAGCCGCGGUAAUACGUAGGGUGCAAGCGUUAAUCGGAAUUACUGGGCGUAAAGCGUGCGCAGGCGGUUGUGUAAGACAGGUGUGAAAUCCCCGGGCUUAACCUGGGAAUUGCAUUUGUGACUGCACGACUAGAGUGUGUCAGAGGGGGGUGGAAUUCCACGUGUAGCAGUGAAAUGCGUAGAUAUGUGGAGGAACACCAAUGGCGAAGGCAGCCCCCUGGGAUAACACUGACGCUCAUGCACGAAAGCGUGGGGAGCA
rnacentral:rRNA from 1 species